AUGGCCAUGUUCACAAGCUUCGGCAGGAACGCGCCUUACCUGCGACAGCAGCUAGCUGCCCUCUUGGGCAACACCAGCAUUAGUGUCAAGUUCAUCUGUCUGGUCGUCCUCUUCUCUUACUGCCUCAGUUUUUCAGAACAGGCAAUUCUAAUACUUAGCGUUACUCCGGGUUACCUGCUGGCUCCUGCCUUUUGGGUUUGGACGGCCUUUACCAGUUGCUUUCUCGAGAUUCACUUUUGGGAAGUGGUCGUUGACGUGCUCACUGUGGUGCUCUGUGGCAAGCUUAUCGAGCCACUAUGGGGUGCCAUGGAGAUGAUGACUUUCUUUGCUAUUGUCAAUUUUGGUGAUGCCAUUGUGUCAGCUGUGUUCUAUCUGGUACUCUAUAUGUGUACCAGUAACACAGAUAUGUUGUUUGAUGUGCAUAUUCAUGGUCUCACUGGAUACAUUGCAGGUGUCACCGUUGCAGUCAAACAAAUAAUGCCAGAUCAUAUUUUAGUCAGAACACCAAUUGGAAAAAUAACCAAUAGAAACAUACCUCUUAUGGUGUGGAUCCUAUACUUGAUUCUUUAUCUUUUUGGAGUGCUAGAAAGCACGCAUCCAACAAUGUUUCUCAAUGGACUGUUAAUCUCAUGGUUGUAUCUCAGGUUUUACCAAAGACAUAAUAAUGGCUCUAGGGGUGAUAUGGCUGAUAGUUUUACAUUUGCUAGUUUCUUUCCAAAUGUACUCCAGCCACCUAUUGCAGUAGUUUGCAAUACAAUUUACGGCUUUUUCAUAAGGAUAGGUCUUUGUAAAAAGGUAGUCCACAGGUUUGACAUGGCAAAUACGUCACGGAGCUUAUUCAUCAGCAUACCCGGAUUUAAUCCACAUGACAGUGAAAGGCGAAGGCAAAUUGCAUUAAAAGAACUGAGUGAAAGACUAAGUAAAGAUCAUGCAAAGCAACCUCUGCUACCUGAUAGGGGAAAAAAGCAUUCACCAGUACCUUCUGCGGUUGCGGUUCAAAUACCAGAACCUGCGGUAUCGAAGCCUUUGCCUUCUCCUCUCAUACCGCAGAUCAACAUAAAUAUUCACAGUCACCAAUCGCCGAGUGGUAGUAACACGUGAUCUUUAGUUAAGGACUCAUCAACGAGUCCUGAUGAAUCUUCUGUCAAUGAAUGAAAGUCAGAGUAGAGAUAGUGCAUUAGUCUCAACUUUUCUACGAAAAAAAAGAAGAAAAAAUUAUAUUUCAAAGCUGUACAAAAUCGAUGUUAAAAUAAAAGGUAAUAAAAAAUUAGAUUUAUUGAUGUUAUAAUGUAAAUAUCGUAGCUAAAUUCUUAAGCAAAAUUUUUCAUAGCAAAUGAAAAAUUUUUAUGAUCAGAA
rnacentral:misc_RNA from 1 species